CCGUAAGGGGUACCUGCGGAGGGAUCAUUACCGAGUUAUACAACUCAUCAACCCUGUGAACAUACCUAUAACGUUGCCUCGGCGGGAACAGACGGCCCCGUAACACGGGCCGCCCCCGCCAGAGGACCCCCUAACUCUGUUUCUAUAAUGUUUCUUCUGAGUAAACAAGCAAAUAAAUUAAAACUUUCAACAACGGAUCUCUUGGCUCUGGCAUCGAUGAAGAACGCAGCGAAAUGCGAUAAGUAAUGUGAAUUGCAGAAUUCAGUGAAUCAUCGAAUCUUUGAACGCACAUUGCGCCCGCCAGUAUUCUGGCGGGCAUGCCUGUUCGAGCGUCAUUACAACCCUCAGGCCCCCGGGCCUGGCGUUGGGGAUCGGCGGAAGCCCCCUGCGGGCACAACGCCGUCCCCCAAAUACAGUGGCGGUCCCGCCGCAGCUUCCAUUGCGUAGUAGCUAACACCUCGCAACUGGAGAGCGGCGCGGCCACGCCGUAAAACACCCAACUUCUGAAUGUUGACCUCGAAUCAGGUAGGAAUACCCGCUGAACUUAAGCAUAUCAUAACCGGGAAGGAA
rnacentral:rRNA from 1 species